AUGUGUGUGUCUGUGUGUGUGUCUGUGUAUGUAUGUGUCUGUAUCAUACAGACACAUACAUACAGAGAAACACAUACAGACUG